rnacentral:rRNA from 1 species
GAUGAACGCUAGCGGCAGGCUUAACACAUGCAAGUCGAGGGGUAGAGUUAGCUUGCUAACUUGAGACCGGCGCACGGGUGCGUAACGCGUAUGCAAUCUACCUUGUACAGAGGGAUAGCCCAGAGAAAUUUGGAUUAAUACCUCAUAGUAUUAUUGAAUGGCACCAUUUGAUUAUUAAAGUUCCAACGGUACAAGAUGAGCAUGCGUCCCAUUAGCUAGAUGGUAAGGUAACGGCUUACCAUGGCAACGAUGGGUAGGGGUCCUGAGAGGGAGAUCCCCCACACUGGUACUGAGACACGGACCAGACUCCUACGGGAGGCAGCAGUGAGGAAUAUUGGUCAAUGGGCGCAAGCCUGAACAAGCCAUGCCGCGUGCAGGAAGACGGUCCUAUGGAUUGUAAACUGCUUUUAUACGGGAAGAAACCCUGCUACGUGUAGCAGCUUGACGGUACCGUAAGAAUAAGCAUCGGCUAACUCCGUGCCAGCAGCCGCCGCAG